GGCAGCAGUGGGGAAUUUUGGACAAUGGGCGCAAGCCUGAUCCAGCAAUGCCGCGUGCGGGAAGAAGGCCUUCGGGUUGUAAACCACUUUGGUAGGAACGAAAAGCUCUGGGCUAAUACCCUGGGGUGAUGACGGUACCUGCAGAAUAAGCACCGGCUAACUACGUGCCAGCAGCCGCGGUAAUACGUAGGGUGCGAGCGUUAAUCGGAAUUACUGGGCGUAAAGCGUGCGCAGGCGGUUGUGCAAGACAGGCGUGAAAUCCCCGGGCUUAACCUGGGAAUGGCGCUUGUGACUGCACGACUGGAGUGCGGCAGAGGGGGAUGGAAUUCCGCGUGUAGCAGUGAAAUGCGUAGAUAUGCGGAGGAACACCGAUGGCGAAGGCAGUCCCCUGGGCCUGCACUGACGCUGAGGCGCGAAAGCGUGGGGAGCAAACAGGAUUAGAUACCCUGGUAGUCCACGCCCUAAACGAUGAAUGUUAGUCGUCGGGUAGCUAGUCUAUUCGGUGAUGCAGCUAACGCAUUAAACAUUCCGCCUGGGGAGUACGGUCGCAAGAUUAAAACUCAAAUGAAUUGACGG
rnacentral:rRNA from 1 species